rnacentral:misc_RNA from 1 species
GCUACUACCGAUUGAAUGGUUUAGUGAGGACUCCUGAUUGGCGCCGCCGCCCCGGCAACGGAGCAGCGGACUGCCGAAAAGUUGUUCAAACUUGAUCAUUUAGAGGAAGUAAAAGUCGUAACUAGGUUUCCGUAGGUGAACCUGCAGAAGGACA